rnacentral:tRNA from 1 species
GAGGGUAUAGCUCACUGGUAGAGCACAUCCCUAGCACGUAUGAGGUCCUGGGUUCAAUCCCCAGAACCUCCA